rnacentral:rRNA from 1 species
AGUGGCGGACGGGUGAGUAACGCGUGAGAAUCUGCCUUGGGGUCGGGGACAACCACUGGAAACGGUGGCUAAUACCGGAUAAGCCGAUUGGUGAAAGAUUUAUUGCCCGAAGAGGAGCUCGCGUCUGAUUAGCUAGUUGGUGAGGUAAGAGCUCACCAAGGCAGCGAUCAGUAGCUGGUCUGAGAGGACGAUCAGCCACACUGGGACUGAGACACGGCCCAGACUCCUACGGGAGGCAGCAGUGGGGAAUUUUCCGCAAUGGGCGAAAGCCUGACGGAGCAAGACCGCGUGAGGGAGGAAGGCUCUUGGGUUGUAAACCUCUUUUCUCAGGGAAGAAGCUCUGACGAUACCUGAGGAAUCAGCCUCGGCUAACUCCGUGCCAGCAGCCGCGGUAAUACGGAGGAGGCAAGCGUUAUCCGGAAUUAUUGGGCGUAAAGCGUCCGCAGGUGGCGAUUCAAGUCUGCUGUCAAAGCACGGGGCUUAACUCCGUAAAGGCAGUGGAAACUGAAUAGCUAGAGUGCCGUAGGGGUAGAGGGAAUUCCCGGUGUAGCGGUGAAAUGCGUAGAGAUCGGGAAGAACAUCGGUGGCGAAAGCGCUCUACUGGACGGCAACUGACACUCAGGGACGAAAGCUAGGGGAGCGAAUGGGAUUAGAUACCCC